CUCAAAGCAGCACACAACAGUGUCUCUUGCUACGAUAGCAGCUUCGACCAGUGCCCUGGGAAAGCAAGAACAGGGUUGGAGAAUGGAGUGCAGCUCUCCCAGAAAACAGACAGCCCAGCAAAAGACUUGCUAUCAGUGCCAGUGAAGGGAGCACCUCAGAGAAGGCCUGGCUUUUAGAAGAGUGAUCUCCGAUAAAAUAGAAGAGCAAAGGUUGAUCUACGGCAGCUCGCAGCACUAUUAUCUGGUGAAGAUCUCAGAUCAGUACCUGCCAACACUAAUCUCUAAAGCAGCAUGCGGUGACCUGGGAUACAGCACAUCAUUUUUUAAAUAAAAAUCUAUUUGAGGGUUACAAACAUCACUUGGGGAAACAGUGGGCCCGAUUCAGCUCUCCUGUAUGCUGUAAAUCAGGAGUAACUCCAUGCAAGUAUAAAACUAGCACAAGGGGCUCAGACACACUGAUUUAACUUACCUAAGCAAUACGGACCUGACACUGCUUCCACUAAAUUCAAUGGAGGAUCUGGUCACUGACUUCUGCAGGAGCAGGUUUGGACCCUGUUUGCACAUAACAUCUAAUUUGUGUUUGCUUUUCGGAGAUUGAGGGAUUGAGCGCUCUGGAUACAAUGUUCACACCAUGCGGUGUCAGUAAAGAUUUGUAUUAUAUUGCAUUGAAUCUGCUGUUGUCUCUAAACUGUAAAAUCCUUGGAGCAGGGACCUAUUUUGAGUUUUUUGUAGCACUCUUCAACUAUUGCAUAAUGUGCACACUGACAGCACCAUCAAGGAAUAAUUUCCAAAACAGAGCAUUGAGAUGUAACAAUGUACAGAAUGCUACAGUUCUUCUUCUUACCUGGAAA